UUGAAAAACUCUCCACAUUGC
rnacentral:piRNA from 1 species